GUUUGGUCAUCGAAAACUGUGCCGAACUGCAAUUUUUAUAAGAUAGCUUCUGGAUUUUAUUUUUCACCUUCCGGAUGUCAAAAUGAUAUGAAACUUUAAAUAUAGCCUCAUAAAAAUAAUUCUGACUUAUCCUCCAGUUUUCAUAAUUUUCUGACACUGUACAUUUUCUGCUAAUUUAUCUGUCCCGUUUCCAACAGAAAAUUUUAAAUCUUCUGUUUUCAUUCCGAUUUCAGCACAAGUCACUUUUGACUUAUGUUUUACUUCUCUAAAUUCAAUAAAAAUAGUUUCUCACACUAUUUUUAUUUAUUUUUAUUUUUAUACCAAAAUCUGGUAUGUUACAACCGCCCCGACCGAAACUCUGCCCCAUUACCGGGCCGCUGCUCCACACAGCUGACUACGCCUGCCCAAU
rnacentral:lncRNA from 1 species